ACAACAGAGACAGAGAUUGAAUGAUACAGCCAUAAGCCAAGGAGCCCCAAGAAUUGCUGGGGACCACCAGAAGCUAGGAUCAGUCAAAGACGGAUUCCUCUCUAGAACCUUCAGAGGUAGACAGGCCCUCUUGGACUUCUAGCUUACAAAAUGGUGGAGAAACAGGAGUGGGAAAGGCCCGGAGAAGGCAAGAGGAAAACAAGAAGAAAAUGAUGCUUCUGAAACCAAAGAACAAGAGGUGUGAGGAAGAAUGAUCACAUCAACAGAAAAUACUAAGGGGUCAAAAAAUUAAAGCUGAAAAAAACGUG